GAUGAACGCUGGCGGCGUGCCUAAUACAUGCAAGUCGAGCGAACGGACGAGAAGCUUGCUUCUCUGAUGUUAGCGGCGGACGGGUGAGUAACACGUGGAUAACCUACCUAUAAGACUGGGAUAACUUCGGGAAACCGGAGCUAAUACCGGAUGAUAUUUUGCACCGUAAGGUUCAAAAGUGAAAGACGGUCUUGCUGUCACUUAUAGAUGGAUCCGCGCUGCAUUAGCUAGUUGGUAAGGUAAAGGCUUACCAAGGCAACGAUGCAUAGCCGACCUGAGAGGUUGAUCGGCCACACUGGAACUGAGACACGGUCCAGACUCCUACGGGAGGCAGCAGUAGGGAAUCUUCCGCAAUGGGCGAAAGCCUGACGGAGCAACGCCGCGUGGGUGAUGAAGGUCUUCGGAUCGUAAAACUCUGUUAUUAGGGAAGAACAUAUGUGUAAGUAACUGUGCACAUCUUGACGGUACCUAAUCAGAAAGCCACGGCUAACUACGUG
rnacentral:rRNA from 1 species